UACAGAGGGUGCGAGCGUUAAUCGGAAUUACUGGGCGUAAAGCGCGCGUAGGCGGUUUUGCACGUCGGGUGUGAAAUCCCCAGGCUUAACCUGGGAACUGCAUUCGAGACUGCAUUACUAGAGUAUGGGAGAGGGAAGUGGAAUUUCCGGUGUAGCGGUGAAAUGCGUAGAUAUCGGAAGGAACAUCAGUGGCGAAAGCGACUUCCUGGACCAAUACUGACGCUCAUGUGCGAAAGCGUGGGGAGCAAACAGG
rnacentral:rRNA from 1 species